rnacentral:lncRNA from 1 species
CCUCCUUCAUAAGCCUCGAGGCACUGCAUCCAACAGGCUCCUCUCUCUCUCUCCUUCAGCAACACCGUACCAACAGCACUGCAUGGCAAAAGGGAGAGUCUCCUGAACGUGUGCUGCAAGAGCGUCUUCUUUCUGCCUCCGGAGUCGGACAUGCCAGAGACAGAAAGAGCGCUCUACGCCAAGGUAUGUGCUGGGUGAGGUACCGGCACCCCCAGUCCUGCUGAGCUGCUGCCUUGCUUCCCCGUGCUGACACAACCAGAGACCAGUGCAGGGCCGGGGCCCAGAUUUGCUUUCCCAGCCUCACCCUUUCCCCUUCCCGGGCAUGAUCCCGUGCUGUAGGAUGUCUGCACGCAGCGGCUUUUUAGCCCCAAAGCCACCCCUGAACUCCAGAGGGGCUCAGAGCCAGCUCCUGAGGGUGAGGAGGGCCACAGAAAUAAUUCGAUGCUCUUCUGUCCUCCCUGCAGACUAUGGAUGCCUUGGACACCAUGCUGGAGGGCUUCGUACUCAGCUGUCCCAUCACCAGUUUCAACACAGAGAUGCAGAAUAUGUUGAAGGUGAUGCUGGACUUUGCUGGCUCCAAAAACUCAACUGUGCGCGAGAGAGCUGUGAGGAGGAUUGAGAGGCUGAUUACUUUCAUCCGCUGGUAUUUGGUGACCAAGGUAAGGCACAAGGAACCCUCCACCCUUUCCUGCAUCCCAGAGCAUCCUGCCAUGCAAGGGUGCCUGUGAGGCAAGCCUCGAUGUACGUG